rnacentral:rRNA from 1 species
GCUUAGCCAUAAACCCAGAUAUUUAACAUACAAAAAUAUCCGCCAGAGAACUACGAGCAAAACGCUUAAAACUCUAAGGACUUGGCGGUACCUUAAACCCCCCUAGAGGAGCCUGUUCUAUAAUCGAUAAUCCACGAUCUACCUCACCAUCUCUUGCCAAUACCGCCUAUAUACCGCCGUCACCAGCCUACCCUAUGAAGGAUAUAAAAGUAAGCAAAAUAGCACAACAGCUAACAAGUCAGGUCAAGGUGUAGCUUACUGAGAUGGAAGAAAUGGGCUACAUUUUCUAAACUAGAAAUCAUUUCACGGAAAGAACUAUGAAACAAGUCCUAUAAGUAGGAUUUAGCAGUAAAUAGGGAUCAGAAUGCCCAAUUUAAGCCGGUCCUAAGGUACGC